GUCCACGCCCUAACUAUGGACACUAAGUGUCGGCGGUUACCGUCGGUGCCGCAGCUAACGCAUUAAGUGUCCCGCCUGGGAAGUACGGCCGCAAGGUUGAAACUCAAAGGAAUUGACGGGCCCGCACAAGCGGUGGAGCAUGUGGUUUAAUUCGACGCAACGCGAAGAACCUUACCCAGGCUGGACAAGCAGGUAGUAAGAACCUGAAAAGGGGAUGAGCCCGCAAGGGAAACCUGCUCAGGUGCUGCAUGGCUGUCGU
rnacentral:rRNA from 1 species